rnacentral:rRNA from 1 species
GUGCCAGCAGCCGCGGUAAUACGCAGGUGGCAAGCGUUGUCCGGAAUUAUUGGGCGUAAAGCGCGCGCAGGCGGUCCUUUAAGUCUGAUGUGAAAGCCCACGGCUCAACCGUGGAGGGUCAUUGGAAACUGGGGGACUUGAGUGCAGAAGAGGAAAGCGGAAUUCCACGUGUAGCGGUGAAAUGCGUAGAGAUGUGGAGGAACACCAGUGGCGAAGGCGGCUUUCUGGUCUGUAACUGACGCUGAGGCGCGAAAGCGUGGGGAGCAAACAGGAUUAGAAACCCCAGUAGUCCA